GGUGGUAGUGAGGAACUGCUGAGGACCCCUAAGUACUGGUCCUAAGUAGCCCUGGGCCCACCUGGCCAUGCCCAUCGGGGUGGCGCCCAUCUGAUCCUCUGAACCCCAGAAGGCACGGAAGAGCCAGUGCGAACUCCAAAACUUGGCGGCCAGGGUGCAUAAAUUAAACGCGCGCCUCCCGCCUGGGGGAGUGACAGCUCCCUGUGAUUACUGCACUGUGAAAAAUGUUAGCCUUUAGAAGGUUUCCUCCCUUCCUAUUCUGUUAGCACUCACACAGAGGUCUAUUAGCAGUGCUCCCAGCCUGCUGGGGAUGCUGGCAAGGCCACGAAAAGAACCCACUCCCCCAGAAGAUCUGGCUGCGUUUUUAGCUCCAGGCUGCUGGCACGUGCCACCUGCCCAGAAACAAUUCCUACAGGGCUACAUCUCAGGAGAGAUGUUCCAGGUCCAUGGGAGCAGUGCCAUGCAAGUGUGAGCCACUGGCUGGAGCAGGUCUGAGAAUCCUUGGGUAUCAGUCAGUAAAAGAGAUGAAGGGAUUUCUCGAUGGUUGUUGUCCUUGAACCUGGAUUAUAUUUCUUCCUCUUUGGAACCCAACAGUUGACUUUGAUGAAAACAAUAUAAACAGGUCGCCUACAACUCCAAGGACAUUGCUACCAACCUUGAAUGUAUUUUAAGGGCCUUUGAUUGAAGCCAAAGAAAACAAGCUAAUUACUCAAUGUCACACCCACUGCUUGGUUUUCUCCUGGAGGUUGACCACAGGAAGCCACACUCUGACACUCUAGACAUACCUUUACUGCACUGGCAUCUGAUGAGC
ensembl:lncRNA